AGUGAACGCUGGCGGUAGGCCUAACACAUGCAAGUCGAACGGCAGCACAGUAAGAGCUUGCUCUUACGGGUGGCGAGUGGCGGACGGGUGAGGAAUACAUCGGAAUCUACUUUUUCGUGGGGGAUAACGUAGGGAAACUUACGCUAAUACCGCAUACGACCUACGGGUGAAAGCAGUGGAUCUUCGCACCUUGCGCGAUUGAAUGAGCCGAUGUCGGAUUAGCUAGUUGGCGGGGUAAAGGCCCACCAAGGCGACGAUCCGUAGCUGGUCUGAGAGGAGGAUAGGCCACACUGGAACUGAGACACGGUCCAGACUACUACGGGAGGCAGCAGUGGGGAAUAUUGGACAAUGGGCGCAAGCCUGAUCCAGCCAUACCGCGUGGGUGAAGAAGGCCUUCGGGUUGUAAAGCCCUUUUGUUGGGAAAGAAAAGCAGCAGGUUAAUACCCCGCUGUUCUGACGGUAACCAAAGAAUAAGCACCGGCUAACUUCGUG
rnacentral:rRNA from 1 species